rnacentral:rRNA from 1 species
GACGAACGCUGGCGGCGUGCCUAAUACAUGCAAGUCGAGCGGAUCCUCAUUAGCUUGCUUUUGAAGAUCAGCGGCGGACGGGUGAGUAACACGUGGGCAACCUGCCUGUAAGACUGGGAUAACUUCGGGAAACCGGAGCUAAUACCGGAUAAUCCUUUUCCUCUCAUGAGGAAAAGUUGAAAGACGGUUUCGGCUGUCACUUACAGAUGGGCCCGCGGCGCAUUAGCUAGUUGGUGAGGUAACGGCUCACCAAGGCGACGAUGCGUAGCCGACCUGGGAGGGUGAUCGGCCACACUGGGACUGAGACACGGCCCAGACUCCUACGGGAGGCAGCAGUAGGGAAUCUUCCGCAAUGGACGAAAGUCUGACGAAGCAACGCCGCGUGAGCGAUGAAGGCCUUCGGGUCGUAAAGCUCUGUUGUCAGGGAAGAACAAGUACCGGAGUAACUGCCGGUACCUUGACGGUGCCUGACCAGAAAGCCACGGCUAACUACGUGCCAGCCGCCGCAGUAA